UACGGAGGGUGCAAGCGUUAUCCGGAUUCACUGGGUUUAAAGGGUGCGUAGGCGGGCAGGUAAGUCCGUGGUGAAAUCUCCAAGCUUAACUUGGAAACUGCCGUGGAUACUAUUUGUCUUGAAUAUAGUGGAGGUGAGCGGAAUAUGUCAUGUAGCGGUGAAAUGCUUAGAUACGACAUAGAACACCAAUUGCGUAGGCAGCUUACUACACGAUCAUUGACGCUGAGGCACGAAAGCGUGGGGAGCAAACAGG
rnacentral:rRNA from 1 species